rnacentral:rRNA from 1 species
CAAGUCGAGCGGAAAGGCCCCUUCGGGGGUACUCGAGCGGCGAACGGGUGAGUAACACGUGAGCAACCUGCCCCUGACUCUGGGAUAAGCCCGGGAAACUGGGUCUAAUACCGGAUAUAACCACUGGCCGCAUGGUGUGGUGGUGGAAAGUUUUUCGGUUGGGGAUGGGCUCGCGGCCUAUCAGCUUGUUGGUGGGGUGAUGGCCUACCAAGGCGACGACGGGUAACCGGCCUGAGAGGGCGACCGGUCACACUGGGACUGAGACACGGCCCAGACUCCUACGGGAGGCAGCAGUGGGGAAUAUUGCGCAAUGGGCGGAAGCCUGACGCAGCGACGCCGCGUGGGGGAUGACGGCCUUCGGGUUGUAAACCUCUUUCAGCAGGGACGAAGCUAACGUGACGGUACCUGCAGAAGAAGCGCCGGCUAACUACGUGCCAGCAGCCCGGGGUAAUUCA